rnacentral:rRNA from 1 species
UACGUAGGGUGCGAGCGUUAAUCGGAAUUACUGGGCGUAAAGCGUGCGCAGGCGGUUCGUUGUGUCGGCGGUGAAAGCCCCGGGCUUAACCUGGGAAUGGCCGUCGAAACUGGCGAACUGGAGUGUGGUAGAGGGGUGUGGAAUUCCCGGUGUAGCGGUGAAAUUCGUAGAUAUUGGGAAGAACACCGGUGGCGAAGGCGGGUCUCUGGACAGUUCCUGACGCUGAGGCACGAAGGCCAGGGGAGCAAACGGG